rnacentral:rRNA from 1 species
AUACGUAGGGGGCGAGCGUUGUCCGGAAUGAUUGGGCGUAAAGGGCGCGUAGGCGGCCCGGUAAGUCUGGAGUGAAAGUCCUGUUUUUAAGAUGGGAAUUGCUUUGGAUACUGUCGGGCUUGAGUGCAGGAGAGGUAAGUGGAAUUCCCAGUGUAGCGGUGAAAUGUGUAGAGAUUGGGAGGAACACCAGUGGCGAAGGCGACUUACUGGGCUGUAACUGACGCUGAGGCGCGAAAGUGUGGGGAGCAAACAGGAUUAGAUACCCUGGUAGUCCACACUGUAAACGAUGAAUGCUAGGUGUAGGGGGUAUCGACCCCUUCUGUGCCGCAGUCAACACAAUAAGCAUUCCGCCUGGGGAGUACGGCCGCAAGGUUGAAACUCAAAUGAAUUGACGGGG